AGACUGGAUAGGAAAUAAAAAGGCAUCUUUUUAUUUUUAAAAGACCUUUUUCGGAAGGUAUGCUUAAAGAGGGGCUUGCGUCACAUUAGUUAGUUGGCAGGGUAAAGGCCUACCAAGACUAUGAUGUGUAGCUGGACUGAGAGGUUGAACAGCCACAUUGGGACUGAGACACGGCCCAAACUCCUACGGGAGGCAGCAGUAGGGAAUUUUCGGCAAUGGAGGAAACUCUGACCGAGCAACGCCGCGUGAACGAUGAAGUAUUUCGGUAUGUAAAGUUCUUUUAUUGAAGAAGAAAAAAUAGUGGAAAAACUAUCUUGACGAUAUUCAAUGAAUAAGCCCCGGCAAACUAUGUGCCAGCAGCCGCGGUAAUACAUAGGGGGCGAGCGUUAUCCGGAAUUAUUGGGCGUAAAGGGUGCGUAGGCGGUUUAAUAAGUCUAUAGUUUAAUUUCAGUGCUUAACACUGUCCUGCUAUAGAAACUAUUAGACUAGAGUGAGAUAGAGGCAAGUGGAAUUCCAUGUGUAGCGGUAAAAUGCGUAAAUAUAUGGAGGAACACCAGAGGCGUAGGCGGCUUGCUGGGUCUUUACUGACGCUGAGGCACGAAAGCGUGGGGAGCAAACAGGAUUAGAUACCCUGGUAGUCCACGCCGUAAACGAUGAGUACUAAGUGUCGGGAUUACUCGGUACUGAAGUUAACACAUUAAGUACUCCGCCUGAGUAGUACGUACGCAAGUAUGAAACUUAAAGGAAUUGACGGGACUCCGCACAAGCGGUGGAUCAUGUUGUUUAAUUCGAAGAUACACGAAAAACCUUACCAGGUCUUGACAUACUCUGCAAAGCUAUAGCAAUAUAGUGGAGGUUAUCAGGGAUACAGGUGGUGCAUGGUUGUCGUCAGCUCGUGUCGUGAGAUGUUAGGUUAAGUCCUAAAACGAGCGCAACCCUUGUCAUUAGUUGCCAGCAUGUCAUGAUGGGCACUUUAAUGAGACUGCCAAUGAAAAAUUGGAGGAAGGUGAGGAUCACGUCAAAUCAUCAUGCCCCUUAUGAUCUGGGCUACAAACGUGAUACAAUGGCUGUUACAAAGAGUAGCUGAAACGCAAGUUUAUAGCCAAUCUCAUAAAAGCAGUCUCAGUUCGGAUUGAAGUCUGCAACUCGACUUCAUGAAGUUGGAAUCGCUAGUAAUCGCGAAUCAGCAUGUCGCGGUGAAUACGUUCUCGGGGUUUGUAC
rnacentral:rRNA from 1 species